GCUGGGCACGGUAGUGCGUGCCUGUAGUCCCAGGUACUCAGGAGGCUGAGGUAGAAGAACUGCUUGAGCCCAGAAGUUCUGGGCUGUAGUGCACUAUGCCAAUCGGGUGUCCACACUAAGUUCGGCAUCAAUAUGGUGACCUCCUGGAAGCCAGGGACCACCAGUUUGCCUAAGGAGGGGUGAACCGGCACAGGUCAGAAACAGAGCAGAUCGAAACUCCUGUGCUGAUCAGUAAUGGGAUUGCGCCUGAGAACAGCCACUGGACUCCAGCCUGGGCAACAUAGCAAGACCCUGUCUCA
rnacentral:SRP_RNA from 1 species